GAUGAACGCUGGCGGCGUGCCUAAUACAUGCAAGUCGAGCGAACAGACGAGGAGCUUGCUCCUCUGACGUUAGCGGCGGACGGGUGAGUAACACGUGGAUAACCUACCUAUAAGACUGGGAUAACUUCGGGAAGCCGGAGCUAAUACCGGUAAAUAUAUUGAACCGCAUGGUUCAUUGGUAAAAGAGGGUUUGGCUGUCCCUUAUAGAUGGAUCCGCGCCGCAUUAGCUAGUUGGUAAGGUAACGGCUUACCAAGGCAACGAUGCGUAGCCGACCUGAGAGGGUGAUCGGCCACACUGGAACUGAGACACGGUCCAGACUCCUACGGGAGGCAGCAGUAGGGAAUCUUCCGCAAUGGGCGAAAGCUUGACGGAGCAACGCCGCGUGAGUGAUGAAGGUCUUCGGAUCGUAAAACUCUGUUAUUAGGGAAGAACAAAUGUGUAAGUAACUAUGCACGUCUUGACGGUACCUAAUCAGAAAGCCACGGCUAACUACGUG
rnacentral:rRNA from 1 species